GACAUAGGUGGCGAACGUUAUCCGGAUUUAUUGGGCGUAAAGGAUGCGUAGAUGGUGGAAUAAGUUAUUGGUCAAAGUCAAGCUCAACUUGGCGGAAGCUGGUAAUACUAUCUACUUGAGGAUAGGAGAGGUUGGCGGAAUUCUGUGUGGAGCGGUGAAAUGCGUAGAGAUCGGGAGGAACACCAGAGGCGAAGGCGGCAACCGUGGAUAGCAACGUGACACUCAACUGGCGAAAGCGUGGGGAGCAAACAGG
rnacentral:rRNA from 1 species